AAGGAACUGAGACCCAAAGGAGUUGAAGAACUUCCUCAAGACAACGCAGUUAGAAAGUAUCAGAAACAGGAUUCAAGAUAAAGUUCUCCGAUGCCAGACACAGUUGCUAUGUUCUUUGGACUUUGGACUGUUACAUUCUCUCCUUGGAAAUGGAGCAGACUAUUCAGGCACUUAUUUUAAUAAUCAGAAGAUGAGAAGCACUCAUGAGUACUUUUAUGGUUACAAGAGUACCGUGCAUUACAAUGCCAGAACCCAAGGAAUCCGCAAGAGACCUUCAAAACCAUACCAGAAUUCCUCAGUAUGCCAUAUAAACAUAUGGAGCAGUCGAGGAGAAAAACAAGUUAGAAAUUCUACUUUUAAUUUAAAGGGAAAGCUACUUGUACUUGGGAGGGAAAAGAAAAGUGAGAAAACCACAUGGAAGACUCACAGGAUUUAAAUGAACAAUCAGUAAAGAAAACGUGCUCAGAAACAGAUGUUUCAGAACCUCAGAAUUCCAGGUCUAUGGAAAUGCAGGACCUAGCAAGUCCUCAUACACUUGUUGGAAGUAGUGAUACUCCUGGUAGCUCCAAACUGGAUAAAUCUAAUCUCAGCAACACAUCAGUUACAACAAAUGGGACAGGAGGGGACACCAUGACUGUUUUAAAUACUGCAGACUGGUUACUGAGUUGCAACACUCCUUCUUCUGCAACAAUGUCUCUUCUUGCAGUCAAAACAGAGCCCAUGAACAACAGUGAAACAACCACAACAACUGGAGAUGGAGCGCUUGACACUUUUACUGGGUCAGUAAUAACGAGUAGUGGCUACAGUCCCAGAUCAGCACAUCAGUACUCUCCACAAUUGUAUCCCUCCAAGCCCUAUCCACACAUUCUUUCUACACCAGCAGCUCAAACAAUGUCUGCCUAUGCUGGACAGACUCAAUAUUCAGGAAUGCAGCAGCCAGCAGUGUACACAGCCUACUCACAGACAGGACAACCUUACAGCUUACCCACUUACGAUUUAGGUGUGAUGUUGCCAGGCAUCAAGACAGAAAGUGGACUUUCACAAACCCAGUCACCACUACAGACGGGGUGCCUCAGUUACAGUCCAGGGUUUUCUACCCCCCAGCCAGGCCAAACACCUUAUUCUUACCAAAUGCCAGGUUCUAGUUUUGCACCAUCAUCCACUAUUUAUGCAAAUAAUUCUGUUUCUAAUUCAACGAAUUUCAGUAGCUCACAGCAGGAUUAUCCAUCAUAUACAGCCUUUGGCCAAAACCAAUAUGCACAGUAUUAUUCAGCAUCAACGUAUGGAGCAUAUAUGACUUCAAAUAACACAGCUGAUGGCACAUCUUCAUCUUCAUCAACAUAUCAGCUGCAGGAAUCUCUCCCUGGACUGACUAGUCAACCAGGAGAUUUUGAUACAGUGCAGAGCCCUUCCACACCCAUCAAAGACCUUGAUGAGAGAACAUGUAGGAGUUCUGGGUCAAAGUCCCGAGGAAGAGGCCGGAAGAAUAAUCCAUCACCUCCACCAGACAGUGACUUGGAGCGUGUAUUUGUCUGGGAUUUGGAUGAAACCAUCAUCGUUUUUCACUCACUGCUUACAGGGUCCUAUGCACAGAAGUAUGGCAAGGAAUGUGAUCAAGUUCAUAUAGAUGAUGUUUCUUCUGAUGAUAAUGGUCAAGACUUAAGUACCUACAGCUUUGCAACUGAUGGCUUCCAUGCAGCUGCAAGUAGUGCAAACCUUUGUUUGCCAACAGGUGUAAGAGGAGGGGUUGACUGGAUGAGGAAGCUGGCUUUUCGUUACAGAAGAGUAAAAGAAUUAUAUAAUACCUACAAGAACAAUGUAGGAGGACUCCUUGGCCCAGCUAAGAGAGAUGCAUGGCUGCAAUUAAGAGCAGAGAUUGAAGGUCUAACAGACUCCUGGCUGACAAAUGCACUUAAAUCCUUAUCAAUUAUUAGUACUAGGAGUAACUGUGUAAAUGUCUUGGUAACAACAACUCAGCUUAUCCCAGCACUUGCAAAAGUCCUACUCUAUAGUUUGGGAGGUGCUUUUCCUAUUGAAAAUAUUUACAGUGCAACUAAAAUAGGCAAAGAAAGCUGUUUUGAGCGUAUAGUGUCCAGAUUUGGCACUAACAUAACUUAUGUUGUGAUUGGAGAUGGCCGAGAUGAGGAGCAUGCCGCUAACCAGCACAACAUGCCUUUUUGGAGGAUAUCAAGUCAUUCAGACCUCUUGGCUCUACAUCAAGCAUUGGAACUAGAAUAUUUGUAA
ensembl:lncRNA